ACACAGCUUCCUGUAGCGAGGCUGGCUGAGAUAACACUUUUCCAAUGGACGCCACAGUGAGUCAAGGCUCUGAGAGAAACCUUAAGGCCGUUUUGUACUGUGUGGAACCAGGGUUGACCUCUGAGUUCUGUCUGACUGGCAGGGGUCACGGAGAAACAGGCCUAAUUCAGCCGUUGUGGAUUUGAUUGAACUUUCUCUGAGGUGCACAAUUGAGAGCAUCUUGUCGGGCUGUAUCACCGCCUGGUAUGGCAACUGUAGAACCCACAACCGCAGGGCUCUCCAGAGGGUAGUGAGGUCUGCACAACGCAUCACCGGGGGAAAACUGCCUGCCCUCCAAGACGCCUUCACCACCCGAUGUCACAGGAAGGCCAUAAAGAUCAUCAAGGACCUCAGCCACCCGAGCCGCUAGCUGUUCACCCCACUAUCGUCCAGAAGAGGACCUGAGCCCGAGAACCAUGCCUCAGGACUACCUGGCCUGAUGACUCCAUGCUGUCCCAAGUCCACCUGUCCCUAGGACCAUGCCUCGGGACUACCUGGCCUGAUGACUCCAUGCUGUCCCAAGUCCACCUGGCCCUAGGACCAUGCCUCAGGACUACCUGGCCUGAUGACUCCAUGCUGUCCCAAGUCCACCUGGCCCUAGGACCAUGCCUCAGGACUACCUGGCCUGAUGACUCCAUGCUGUCCCCAGUCCACCUGGCCCUAGGACCAUGCCUCAGGACUACCUGGCCUGAUGACUCCAUGCUGUCCCAAGUCCACCUGGCCCUAGGACCAUGCCUCAGGAUUACCUGGCCUGAAGACUCCAUACUGUCCCCAGUCCACCUGGCCGUGCUGCUCCUCUUCUGUCCUUUCGAGGAGUUUUCCUAGCCACCGUGCUUCUACACCUGCAUUGCUUGCUGUUUGGGGGUUUUAGGCUGUGUUUCUGUACAGCACUUUGAGAUAUCAGCUGAUGUAAGAAGUCCUUUAUAAAUAAAUUUGAUUUGAAAUCAAUUUGAUUUGUUAAACAGCCAUCACUAACACAGAGAGGCGACUGCCUACCUCCAGACUUUGAUAUCAUUGGCCUCUUUAAUAAAUGGAACACUAGUCACUUUAA